rfam:Schistosoma curassoni strain Dakar, Senegal genome assembly, scaffold: SCTD_scaffold0000775
GGAACGAUGAUUUAAGUGUUAAAACAUUUAGCUUUAAACCAGUAGGUCAUAGGUUCGAAUUCCUAUUUCAUCUC